GGGGGAUUAGCUCAGUUGGUAGAGCGCUUGCAUGGCAUGCAAGAGGUCAGCGGUUCGAACCCGCUAUCCUCCACGA
rnacentral:tRNA from 1 species